CCUCAAGGGGCGCGAGACAACUCUCUCUAAGGAACUCGGCAAAAUUACCUCGUAACUUCGGAAGAAGAGGUACCCCUUCACGGGGGUUGCAAUAGAUUGACCCUGGCGACUGUUUACCAAAAACACAGGUCUCCGCUAAUUCGUAAGAAAAAGUAUGGGGGCUGACGCCUGCCCAGUGCCGGAAGGUUAAAGAAGUUGGUUAGUCCUUGGACAAAGCUAGCGACUGAAGCCCCGGUGAACGGCGGCCGUAACAAUAACGGUCCUAAGGUGGCGAAAUUCCUUGUCGGGUAAGUUCCGACCCGCACGAAAGGCGUAACGAUCAGGGUACUGUCUCGGAGAGAGGCUCGGCGAAAUAGACAUGUCUGUGAAGAUGCGGACUACCUGCACCUGGACAGAAAGACCCUAUGAAGCUUUACUGUAUCUUGGAAUUGGGUUUGGUCUUUGCAUGCGCAGGAUAGGUGGGAGGCUUUGAAGAUGAUCUUGCGGGGUCGUUGGAGCCACUGGUGAGAUACCACCCUUGCAAUGAUAAAAUCCUAACUUUGAACCGUUAUCCGGUCAAAGAACAGUUUCAGGUGGGCAGUUUGACUGGGGCGGUCGCCUCCUAAAAGGUAACGGAGGCGUGCAAAGGUUCCCUCAGGCUGGUUGGACAUCAGUCGUAGAGUGUAAAGGCAUAAGGGAGCUUGACUGCGAGACCAACAAGUCGAGCAGAGACGAAAGUCGGCCUUAGUGAUCCGGCGCUUCCGAGUGGAAGGGGCGUCGCUCAACGGAUAAAAGUUACUCUAAGGAUAACAGGCUGAUCUCCCCCAAGAGUUCACAUCGACGGGGAGGUUUGGCACCUCGAUGUCGGCUCAUCGCAUCCUGGGGCGGUAGUACGUCCCAAGGGUUGGGCUGUUCGCCCAUGAAAGCGGUACGCGAGCUGGGUUCAGAACGUCGUGAGACAGUUCGGUCCAUAUCCGGUGCAGGCGUUAGAGUAUUGCGAAGACUCCUCCUUAGUACGAGAGGACCGGGGGGAAUGCACCGCUGGUGUACCAGUUAUCGUGCCAACGGUAAACGCUGGGUAGCCAAGUGCAGUUUGGAUAACUGCUGAAAGCAUCUAAGUAGAAAGCCAGCUUCAAGAUGAGUACUCUCACCGCUUCAAGCGGGUAAGAUCACGGCAAGAACAGCCGUUUGAUAGGCAUCAAGUGUAAGUGCAGUAAUGUAUUCAGCUGAGAUGUACUAAUAGAUCGAGGGCUUAUAAAA
rnacentral:rRNA from 1 species